rnacentral:rRNA from 1 species
GUCUACGGCCAUGCCACCCUGACCGUGCCUGAUCUCGUCUGAUCUUGGAAGCUAAGCAGGGUCGGGCCUGGUUAGUACUUGGAUGGGAGACCACUUAGGAAGACCAGGGCUGUAGGCU